ensembl:snRNA U6 U6 spliceosomal RNA
GUGCUCACUUUGGCAGCUUAUAUACUUGAAUUGGAACAAUACAGAGAAGAUUAACAUGGCCCCUGCGCGAGGAUGAUACACAAAUUCAUGAAGCAUUCAAUGUUUUU